CUGGUUUAACCUAAUCCACUUGCGGCGGCUGGGACUGCGGCUGCUCAUUCGCUCAGCCUCAGGGUCUGCGUGGCUAGGGGCGGGUGAUUUGGAGUAUAUGAAGCUCUUGCUUACACUCUACCGAACCGGGAAAGAUGGCCCCGGCUUCUCAGGCCCCUAGGAGCUCCUCUCUCCAGGACUUGAUCGCCGAGGCUGUCAGAAUUGUUGGAGUUGACAGAAUUGUCUGGGAAUCAAUAAAGUUUAAGGCAGGACAAGAAGCAGUGGAUGGAAACUAAUCAAG